rnacentral:rRNA from 1 species
UACGGAGGGUGCGAGCGUUAAUCGGAAUUACUGGGCGUAAAGCGUGCGUAGGUGGUUGAUUAAGUUAUCUGUGAAAUCCCUGGGCUUAACCUGGGCAGGUCAGAUGAUACUGAUUGACUCGAGUAUGGGAGAGGGUAGUGGAAUUUCCGGUGUAGCGGUGAAAUGCGUAGAGAUCGGAAGGAACACCAGUGGCGAAGGCGGCUACCUGGCCUAAUACUGACACUGAGGCACGAAAGCGUGGGGAGCAAACAGG